GAGAGAGGCAAGAAAAAGGAAAAGGGAAGAACGGAGGGGAAAAGGCUUGGAUUGGGUACCGUUGUCCGUUUCAGAAGUGAAUGGGCGCACCCCAUUUCUUCUAAUUUGUUUUGGCACAUCAUCAGCAAUAGGCAGACAUGGAGUCGAGCACAGCGAGUGAGAAAAAGAAGUUGAAACGCAGAGAGAUACUGGAGAAAAAGAAAGCAACAGACCAAAUCCUCAAAGCUGCUUCUGCCCAAAUUGACCAUCUUGCUUCUUUCCCUUCCUUCCGCUGUUUCAACAGAAAUGGCCUUUGUUUACACUUGGAAUCAGGGCAUGGAGAUAAGCUAUCCCAUUGUACGAAACAAUACAUUCAAAACCUCUUGAAGGUAAAUAUGGAGGGUCCGUAUGGAUCGGAGUGGGCAAUUGAAGAGAAGGUGAAACGGAGAGAAAUGGUUGCUCCAGAAGCACGCUAUAUAUUUGUAUGCAGAAAUGCCAAUGAUAUGAUGGACAGUGCCCCCAUUCCCCUGCUUGGUUUCCUACAUUACCGGUUCACUCUGGAGGAAGAGAUGCCUGUUCUUUAUUUAUACGAAUUGCAGCUGGAUUCCUCUGUCCAAGGGAAAGGGCUUGGAAAAUUCUUGAUGGAAUUAAUUGAGCUAAUUGCUCAGGAGAAGUGGAUGAGUGCCGUGGUGUUAACUGUUCAAAAAUCAAACUCGUCGGCCAUGAAGUUCUAUAGAAGCAAACUAAGAUAUGUGGUAUCGAGUAUUUCGCCAUCUAGAGUCAAUCCAUUCGCUGGAGUAGAAAAGAAAUAUGAAAUUCUUUGCAAAACAUUUGAUCAUGAAGCUAAAGCUGUAUUGGAGGUAUAUUCAAUUUAGCAUAUUGGUGCGAUUAUCAUCCUCGUAAAUUUGUCCACAUGCAUUGGUAAUGUCUGAAGGUGAAAAAGCAGACGCCAUGUCAAAAUUGCUUCCAAUACCAUUUGACCACUCUAAAAGUGUUGGAUUGAACUGUUGAUGCAGGCUUGGUAGGAGGGUAGGGUUUAUGGCUGCUUUUCGGAUUUGAAUUUUGAAGAGUAACAGGGAAAAUUGAAUGAGAAGAAACAAAUUGUCGGGUUGCAUCUCAUAGGGAGUAAGGGCGAUUAAUGUACUCCAUUAAUAACAUCAAGAUUCGAACUAAUGAUCUUACUUAAAGAAUUUUAGAGUAAAAUUUUUAAUAUUAUUAGCUGC